UAUAUUUUAAUUUAUAAAGUACGUUAAUUUUUGAAAUUAAAAGAUAGUUCAGUCUUAUUAAAUGUAU
rnacentral:tRNA from 1 species